rnacentral:rRNA from 1 species
GAGUUUGAUUAUGGCUCAGAACGAACGCUGGCGGCAUGCCUAACACAUGCAAGUCGAACGAAGUCUUCGGACUUAGUGGCGCACGGGUGAGUAACAUGUGGGAAUUUACCUAAAGGUUCAGAAUAACUACGGGAAACUGUAGCUAAUACCGGAUGUGUCCGUAAGGAGAAAGAUUUAUCGCCUUUAGAUGAGCCCGCACUAGAUUAGUUUGUUGGUGAGGUAAGAGCUCCACCAAGACUACGAUCUAUAGCUGAUUUGAGAGGAUGAUCAGCCACACUGGGACUGAGACACGGCCCAGACUCCUACGGGAGGCAGCAGUGGGGAAUAUUGGACAAUGGGGGAAACCCUGAUCCAGCAAUGCCGCGUGAGUGAAGAAGGCCCUCGGGUUGUAAAACUCUUUCAUCAAUGAAGAUAAUGACAUUAGUUGAAGAAGAAGCUCCGGCUAACUCCGUGCCAGCAGCCGCGGUAAUACGGAGGGGGCUAGCGUUGUUCGGAAUUACUGGGCGUAAAGCGUAUGUAGGCGGAUCAAAAAGUUAGAUGUGAAAUCCCUGGGCUUAACCCAGGAACUGCAUUUAAAACUAGUGAUCUAGAAUUUGGUAGAGGAUAGUAGAAUUUCCAGUGUAGAGGUGAAAUUCGUAGAUAUUGGAAAGAAUACCAGUGGCGAAGGCGACUAUCUGGGCCAUUUUUGACGCUGAGAUACGAAAGCGUGGGUAGCAAACAGGAUUAGAUACCCUGGUAGUCCACGCAGUAAACGAUGAGUGCUAGUCGUUGGAUCAAUAGAUUCAGUGAGACAGCUAACGCAUUAAGCACUCCGCCUGGGGACUACGGUCGCAAGACUAAAACUCAAAGGAAUUGACGGGGGCCCGCACAAGCGGUGGAGCAUGUGGUUUAAUUCGAUUCAACGCGAAGAACCUUACCUGGUCUUGACAUCCUCGGACCGCUUCAGAGAUGAAGUUUCCUCUUCGGAGGCCGAGUGACAGGUGCUGCAUGGCUGUCGUCAGCUCGUGUCGUGAGAUGUUGGGUUAAGUCCCGCAACGAGCGCAACCCUCACCCUUAGUUGCCAUCGGGUUAUGCCGGGCACUCUAGGGGAACUGCCGGUGACAAGCCGGAGGAGGGUGGGGAUGACGUCAAGUCCUCAUGGCCUUUAUGACCAGGGCUACACACGUGUUACAAUGGGAGUUACAGAGGGAAGCUAAACCGCGAGGUCAUGCCAAUCCCAGAAAAACUUUCUCAGUUCGGAUCGCAGUCUGCAACUCGACUGCGUGAAGCUGGAAUCGCUAGUAAUCGCGGAUCAGCACGCCGCGGUGAAUACGUUCCCGGGCCUUGUACACACCGCCCGUCACACCAUGGGAGCCGACAAGGGCAGAAGUCGCCGAGCUAACCUUCGGGAGGCAGGCGCCCAAGCUGUUGUUGACGACUGGGGUGAAGUCGUAACAAGGUAGCC